rnacentral:rRNA from 1 species
GAUGAACGCUGGCGGCGUGCCUAAUACAUGCAAGUCGAGCGAACAGACGAGGAGCUUGCUCCUCUGACGUUAGCGGCGGACGGGUGAGUAACACGUGGAUAACCUACCUAUAAGACUGGGAUAACUUCGGGAAACCGGAGCUAAUACCGGAAAAUAUAUUGAACCGCAUGGUUCAAUAGUGAAAGACGGUUUUGCUGUCACUUAUAGAUGGAUCCGCGCCGCAUUAGCUAGUUGGUAAGGUAACGGCUUACCAAGGCGACGAUGCGUAGCCGACCUGAGAGGGUGAUCGGCCACACUGGAACUGAGACACGGUCCAGACUCCUACGGGAGGCAGCAGUAGGGAAUCUUCCGCAAUGGGCGAAAGCCUGACGGAGCAACGCCGCGUGAGUGAUGAAGGUCUUCGGAUCGUAAAACUCUGUUAUUAGGGAAGAACAAAUGUGUAAGUAACUAUGCACGUCUUGACGGUACCUAAUCAGAAAGCCACGGCUAACUACGUG